UACGUAGGGAGCAAGCGUUGUCCGGAAUCAUUGGGCGUAAAGCGCGCGUAGGCGGCCCGGUAAGUCCGUCGUGAAAUCUCUCGGCUCAACCGAGAAACGUCGGCUGAUACUGCCGUUCUUGAGGGAUGCAGAGGAGACUGGAAUUCCCGGUGUAGCGGUGAAAUGUGUAGAGAUCGGGAGGAACACCGGUGGCGAAGGCGGGUCUCUGGGCAUUUCCUGACGCUGAGGCGCGAAAGCGUGGGGAGCAAACGGG
rnacentral:rRNA from 1 species